AACGUAGGAGACUAGCGUUAUCCGGAUUUACUGGGCGUAAAGCGUGUGCAGGCGGUUCGGCAAGUUGGAUGUGAAAUCUCCCGGCUCAACUGGGAGGGGUCGUUCAAUACUACCGAACUUGAGGGCAUCAGAGGAAGGUGGAAUUCCGGGUGUAGUGGUGAAAUGCGUAGAUAUCCGGAGGAACACCAGUGGCGAAGGCGGCCUUCUGGGAUGUUCCUGACGCUCAGACACGAAAGCUAGGGGAGCGAACGGG
rnacentral:rRNA from 1 species